rnacentral:rRNA from 1 species
UAGGGAAUCUUCCGCAAUGGGCGAAAGCCUGACGGAGCAACGCCGCGUGAGUGAAGAAGGAUUUCGGUUCGUAAAGCUCUGUUGUUAGGGAAGAAUGAUUAUGUAGUAACUAUACAUAGUAGAGACGGUACCUAACCAGAAAGCCACGGCUAACUACGUGCCAGCAGCCGCGGUAAUACGUAGGUGGCAAGCGUUGUCCGGAAUUAUUGGGCGUAAAGCGCGCGCAGGUGGUUUAAUAAGUCUGAUGUGAAAGCCCACGGCUCAACCGUGGAGGGUCAUUGGAAACUGUUAAACUUGAGUGCAGGAGAGAAAAGUGGAAUUCCUAGUGUAGCGGUGAAAUGCGUAGAGAUUAGGAGGAACACCAGUGGCGAAGGCGGCUUUUUGGCCUGUAACUGACACUGAGGCGCGAAAGCGUGGGGAGCAAACAGGAUUAGAUACCCUGGUAGUCCACGCCGUAAACGAUGAGUGCUAAGUGUUGGUCUCAUAAGAGAUCAGUGCUGCAGCUAACGCAUUAAGCGCUCCGCCUGGGGAGUACGACCGCAAGGUUG